AUUAUGAGGAACUUUGAACUUGUUGUAGGAAGUUUCACAGAAGGUGAUGUUAGGACGCGGCGGGCUGAACCGGAUCAGACACAAACCUGUUCUGUUAGGAGGCAGUAAAAAAUAAAAUCUCCUCUGCAGCUGCGGGGUAACAAGCAGCGUUAAUACACAGGCCCGCAUUUUGCAUCCGGAUUACCCGCACAGCAGUCAUCCUGAGGCCGCUGUGCGCGUCAUGGCCCUCCGCUACCUCAACAAAGUGGUCAUCGUCACUGGGGGAUCCAAAGGGAUUGGCCGAGGGAUUGUCAAAGUUUUUGUGGAGAAUGGUGCCAACGUCGUCUUCUGCGCAAGAGGAGCUGCCGUUGGUGAGGCUCUAGAGGAGGAGCUAAAUAAAGCAGGGCCAGGUUCAUGCAAAUUUGUCUCAUGUGACAUCUCCAAAGAGGAAGACAUCAAGGGACUGAUCUCUUUGACGGUCGCACGUUAUAAACAAAUCGACUGCCUGGUCAACAAUGCGGGGUGGCACCCGCCUCAUAAACCAACUGAUGAGACGACUGCGGAGGAGUUCAGAGACCUGCUGAAUCUGAACCUCGUCAGCUACUUCUUGGCCUCUAAAUAUGCCUUGCCACAUCUGCGACAGAGUCAAGGAAACAUCAUUAAUGUGUCCAGCCUGGUGGCCACCAUUGGUCAGAAAGACGCUGCACCUUAUGUCGCCACCAAGGGGGCGAUCAUCGCCAUGACAAAAGCAAUGGCUGUGGAUGAGAGUCGCUACAAAGUGAGAGUGAACUGCAUCUCCCCUGGAAAUGUGAUGACGCCUCUGUGGGAAGAAUUAGCAGGACAAACAACAAACCCUGCAGAAACCAUUAAAGCAGGAGAAAAUGCCCAGCUCUUAGGUCGAAUGGGGACAGAGGCAGAGAGCGGCCUGGCUGCCUUGUUCCUGGCAGCCGACGCCACGUUCUGCACCGGCAUCGACCUGCUGCUCAGCGGAGGAGCCGAGCUCAACUAUGGCUUCAAGAGUCAGAUCCCAUCCUAACCAUUCGGGCCUCCACUGUGUCCACAGGGCUGAGGAAUAACCCAUUUAACUGAAUACACUGUUACGCUGAGGUCCUGGGACCAUGGCCAACCAUGAAACAAGACCCGCACCACUCCCCAGCCCUGGACCAAUCACCAGCUCUGUCUGUGAACCCAAAUGACCUCCCAUUUUUCCAGCCCUCUGGUUUCGUCCAAU